GAUUUUGGACAAUGGGGGAAACCCUGAUCCAGCCAUCCCGCGAGUAGGAUGAAGGCAUUCUGGUUGUAAAGUACUUUUGGCAGAGAAGAAAAGGUAUCUACUAAGACGAGAUACUGCUGACGGUCUCUGUAGAAUAAGCACAGGUAAACUACGUGUCAGCAGCCGCGGUAAUACGUAGGGUUCAAGCGUUAAUCGGAAUUACUGGGCUUAAAGCGUGUGUAGGCGGUUCGGAAAGAAAGAUGUGAAAUCCCAGGGCUCAACCUUGGAACUGCAUUUUUAACUGCCGAGCUAGAGUAUGUCAGAGGGGAGUAGAAUUCCACGUGUAGCAGUGAAAUGCGUAGAUAUGUGGAGGAAUACCGAUGGCGAAGGCAGCCCCCUGGGAUAAUACUGACGCUCAGACACGAAAGCGUGGGGAGCAAACAG
rnacentral:rRNA from 1 species